AUGAAUGGUAAAGAGACUGAUAUUGAGGACUCUAGUGAUGAAGAAAUGGUAGUUAUGCAAAGUGUUUUCAACAUUGGUAAUGACAAUCCUCAGGAUUGUGUAGAUAAAUCUCUGGAGACAAAUCUUGAUGGUGAUGAUGGUAGUGAAGAAACCAGUGUAGAAGGAGUACCAGAAGAAGCUGAGGAAGAGUCUCAGAAAAAAGAGGCUAUGAUAAAAAAAAAGAUGUACUUGAUAAUGUGA